rnacentral:rRNA from 1 species
CGUAGGUAACCUGCCCGGANCGGGGAUAACAUUUGGAAACAGAUGCUAAUACCGCAUAACAAUAAAAGCCGCAUGGCUUUUAUUUGAAAGAUGGCUUUGGCUAUCACUCUGGGAUGGACCUGCGGUGCAUUAGCUAGUUGGUAAGGUAACGGCUUACCGAGGGCGAUGAUGCAUAGCCGAGUUGAGAGACUGAUCGGCCACAAUGGAACUGAGACACGGUCCAUACUCCUACGGGAGGCAGCAG